CUUUAGGGGGCAGUCUGUAUACUUGUUUUAUAAAUAUCAUGAAGUGUGCAGAUCUUGAACAAAUGUGCCGCCUAAAAUCGAGUUGCCCUUUCCCCUUCCCUCGUUCACUAAUUUCACCGGCGUUUGGCCGGUGUCGGCACAACUCAGGCCGUUUUCCGGCACCUCGCUCUCCCCCAACCUGACCGACUACAUCCCGCCAUCCCCAACUGCACACAUCUGUCAUUCAUCUGAGAUGGAGGCGGCUGGCCAGCCACCGUCAUGGCGGCGGCACACAGCAGCGGGGAACGGAGAGAGAGGGACGUGAGAAGGAAGAAGAGCUGCAGCGGCGGUGACGGCAGCGCCGCCGUGAGCGGCGGGUGUCUACGGCAGUCGUAGUGGUGGUUCGUGUUGCAGGAUUGGUUUGGUUCGACUUCUAGUCUCGGGUUCGAGUUUCAGUCAACGUCAGACUCGGGACUCGGUUCAGACUCGGGACUCGGUUCAGUUGGUGCGACUCCGGGUCAGUUUCAAUUUAGUCUGUUUGUCGAUUCGUUGCAGGCUCGGUACAACGGUGGACUGCGGAAGUUGUUUCACGUAUCGUUCGGAUAACUAUUUCGUUUGCUCUCUUGGAUUUUUCACCAUCUUUAGUCGUGCGUUAUUUCAAGCAAUCGCAACGCAACCAAUGUAACAAAAUGUGAAAGCCAAAUAGAAGCCAGCUGGACAGCACUGAAGGCUUGGAAAAAGUGGCAAUAAAGUUACUUAAAAAGAAAUAGAUGUUUUUCUUAUAUAAAAUAGGGUGUACCCCUAUGAAAUUAUAUGUACUGAAAACUUGGGUUUUACCCAUGUGUUUAAUGUUAUAAAAUG